GAAACAAACACCUACUGGAUGCAGGUACAGGUAGACCAGCCCUGAGACCGCUCUUGGAUUGCACAGGGGAGCCAAGACUGGGAGCUGGGAGGAAAACUAAGAUUGUCUUCACCUAGGCUGUUUCUGCUUCUCAUUGCAAAGGAAGAUGUUAGAACAAUGGCUUCAAUUUAAAAUCUGACCUUUUAAAUGCCAAGCUGUGUGUUUACUUCUGUGUUGAAUGUACAGAUAAAAACACAUGCCUUUCUAAAAUUGACCCUGAAAACUAUGUUAUCUGAGAUGUCUUUCUUCCCAUCCAUCAUUACCUCUCAUAACUAUUCAGGACUAACUAGUUAUGAUCCCAAUUUCUAAUUUUGUCCUGACUUAUAUCUGGUGGUGAGAAACCCAUGGAGAACCUCCUAUGGAUCUGUUCUGUUGUAGAGGUUAGAACCUGAUUUAUCCAGAAGCUAGGGAGGACCUGAACUGGCUCUGGCAGUUCUGAAAUACAGAAAAAGUAGCAUACUUUAACAAAAGCAGUGCAUUCAAGGAGAAGAUGCAGGAAUCAGAGUGCUGGAGAAGCAGGUGGGCAUUGUGUUGCUGCUUCAGAGAGAAGAGUUUGCCUGAAGGAGAAGAGAAAGUCCCACUUAUCACUGUCCGCAUUCCCAUCCGGCUGCAGAAAGCUGUUACCACCGAUGAUGAGAUGCCUACCCAUCCUGACAGACAAUUGUUCAGUCUUAAGGAGCUUGGAAUUACUUCACAGCUUGAAAUUCCAGUAUAUUCCUUUGAAGAUCUAGGGAGAAAAUGUGGAACUCAAGAGCUUUCAGUGAAACCUUGUUCGCAUCUCCAUCAAGCUAAAGACAGGGAAUGAGUUCUCCUGUGAAAGAAAAUAUGGAGGAACCACAGUGCCCAAAACUCAGCAACAAUUUUAGGUAGUGCAGUCCAAAGGAAUAAUGAGAAUAUCCAGAAGUGGAAAUUUCAUAGGAAAAAAAGGAGGUAAGAAAGCACAAAUUUUUUGUUUCUGAUCUGAAUAUCACUGCUUUGUCCAGAAGGACCAUGGGUGCCACCCAUGGCUCCUGAUAGCAAAUGU
rnacentral:lncRNA from 1 species